rnacentral:rRNA from 1 species
CAAGAACUAUAAACCAUUAGACCUCCAGUACAGGAGUAAAAUCUAGAUACUGAAAGUUAUAUCUGACAUGGUUAUUUAGGAUGCUGAGUCUGUGAUAGCUUCAAGGGAAACUGGGAUUGGAUACCCCAUUAUUUUUAGUUGUAAAUAUAGUUUGAGCUUACCAGAGUACUACGAAUAAAAAGUUUAAAACUCAAAGGGCUUGGCGGUGUUUUAGACCUCUCAGGGGAACCUGUCUCGUAAUCGACAAUCCACGUUAGACCUAACCUUCCGUGGUAGUUCAGCCUGUAUACCGUUGUCGUCAGGUAACUUCUAAAAAUAUAGCAGUUAGCUCGAGAACUUUAUUAAUUAAGACGUCAGAUCAAGGUGCAGCUAAUAGGAAGGUGAGGAUGGGUUACAGUUACAUAUUUGUAAUUACGGAAAGACACUUGAAAGCAAGUGACUUGAAGGAGGACUUGAAAGUAAUUUUGAUUAUAUAAACAGAAUGAAUGCGGCUCUGAAACGUG